UACGUAGGGAGCGAGCGUUGUCCGGAUUUACUGGGUGUAAAGGGUGCGUAGGCGGCUCUGCAAGUCAGAAGUGAAAUCUAUGGGCUUAACCCAUAAACUGCUUUUGAAACUGUGGAGCUUGAGUGAAGUAGAGGUAGGCGGAAUUCCCGGUGUAGCGGUGAAAUGCGUAGAGAUCGGGAGGAACACCAGUGGCGAAGGCGGCCUACUGGGCUUUAACUGACGCUGAGGCACGAAAGCGUGGGUAUCGAACAGG
rnacentral:rRNA from 1 species